AGAUGAAGCCCCCCUCAAGAUGAGAUUUCCCAACUUCGGUUAUAAGAUCCCUCGAAGAUGACGAGGUUAAUAGGUUCGAGGUGGAAGCGUGGUGACACGUGGAGCUGACGAAUACUAAUCGAUCGAAGACUUAAUCAA
rnacentral:rRNA from 1 species